UACGGGGGGGGCAAGCGUUGUUCGGAAUUACUGGGCGUAAAGGGCUUGUAGGUGGCCAACUAAGUCAGACGUGAAAUCCCUCGGCUUAACCGGGGAACUGCGUCUGAUACUGGAUGGCUUGAGUUUGGGAGAGGGACGCGGAAUUCCAGGUGUAGCGGUGAAAUGCGUAGAUAUCUGGAGGAACACCGGUGGCGAAGGCGGCGUCCUGGACCAACACUGACACUGAAAAGCGAAAGCCAGGGGAGCAAACGGG
rnacentral:rRNA from 1 species